UGUCCAGGGAUGGGAAACGAACCCACAAUGUUCCGCUUAGCGGGCAGAUGCCAUAUCCACUAGGCUAUUUGUUCUUGCC
rnacentral:tRNA from 1 species